UGGCAGUUAGACACAGUUGGGUGAGGACGCAACAACAGUUUGUGUGGCGCAGUCGCAAGGUCGAGUUUUAUGAGGGAGUGAAAGCAAAUACAUCGAGUUGUGGGACUUGGGCUACCUGUCUUAAUUAAGAUUAAAAUGCUCUGAAAGAUCUUAUUGUGAGGAGCGCACCGAGCUACUGCACAACAGAUACCUGCAAGCCACUAAGCCCUUAGUUCACAUGGAGGACCUAAAAGCCCAUUAAUGCACCUAUUAUAUUCAGACUUAAUAAAAUACUUUUUAAAUUCUACGAAUUUUACUUUUGAUUUGAAAUUAUGACGAUGAAGAUAAAAGUGAUUAUAAGGGAAGUAGAUUAUG